UCCCUUGCUGCUGUCAUCUCCAAAAGCUGAGAGUAUCCUGAGUUUAGAUCAGUACUGGGGAGUAUUUUCCAUUUGGGAUAGAAGUAAAAUGCUGGGAAUCAUAAAGUUAUUUGAAUUUUCAGCUUUCAAAAUUUGUAUUUUCUUUCUGCUAAAAAAUAAUGGUGAAGAGAAUUAAAGGAGCUGUUCCAGGAAUCCUUUUAGGAUUUCUUCUCUCUGGGAGAUACAGCCAAAGUGUUCAAAACUAUUUGUCAUGACUGGAAAAGGAAGAGGGAGACAAGAACUUCAUUCUGGAGGGAAAUGACAAAAGGCCAUAGAGGUUCUGAAAAGCUGUUGAUAGCAAAGGGAGCUCAAGGAGAUUGUGGAACAGAAGGAAAUGCUCUGUGAAGCAACAUGAAACCUCCGUAUAAAGAACAAGCUCUUCGUUCUCCUGGAGAUAGCUCACAUGAAUAAUCUGCGUUAGAACUGUGACCUAUUGACUGAAAAAAGGAGUGAGCUUGUUUGAAAGUGCAAACAUCCCCAGUAAUUCUUAUCAAAACAGCUGGGUUUAGGCUAAUUUUACUUCCUCCUCUCCUGCUGUUGUGCUGUCAUAUGGAAGGGGAAUGACAGAUGACUGUGGAUGAAGUGGUGGCUUGGACCUUUCAGUGAACUGGAAAAAAUGGGAAUACAUGCAGUUUUGGGUAUAUAACACUGAUUAUCCACACACAAAGGAGUGGUAAAUGAAUAGCCUACCCUAAUAAUAACUCAGAGGAGUGAGUAGCUUUUCAGGGGAUAAGUGUUUUUAUUCCAUUGAGAAAAGCCAGGAAGACUUUAUGUCUGAAAAAAAAAAAAAAAAAGGAAAGGAAAAACAGUUGUUCUGUUGGGGUUUUCUUCUAUAGAAAUCUUGUGCUUUUUUUGUUUGAUUGGUUUUGUUUUGCCAUCAGAUAUGUCUAAAUGUGAAUUCUUUACUAUUUUAAUUAGUACAAAAUUAAUAUUUCUGUAGAUAUACUGUUUUAAGGCUGCUUAUUGACACAGGUUACAUAAAAAUGGAAACUACUGAAGAGGUGGCAAGAGCAGCUUAUGUUGAAAUAAGGGUCAAAUUAGUUGCUUUUCACAAGAUCCACAGUCUGAUAUGAUUUUCUGGAAUGUCCUUACUAUGAGAGAGAUGAUAAAAGGCAAAGGGCCAGAAUUUCUGGUCAACAUCAGCAAGCAGGGAGGUCAAUAUAAUAACUAUUCCAUGUGAUCCCACAGUAAAUACAUAGAGAAUCAAGUUCAGACUUGGAGUGAGAUGAUGUUAACUCCCACCAAAGUGCAACCUGGCCAAUAAAUCAUUUGUGUGAGGACUCUGCUUCUGCUAGGGAGCAGAGAUUUUUGUCUUCCAGAAGCUUACAUAAAAUGGCCAGGCUUGUGGUGAGCAUUGUCAAUAAAACCUUCUCAAUUUAAUGUA